AGGAUGACCAGUCUGCCUUGUACCAACCACCAAUGAACCAGUCAUGGGACAACAAACUGAGAAAGGCAAUGCAAAUGAGUGGUUUGUACCAAAAGCACCCUCUGGAUUGUGAUCUGCUGGCUGGAUUUGCCAAAUAUCUCCGCGAUGACCACAACAUUCCCAAUUUCAAACAGGAGGUUGCAAAUGUGUCUAGGUUUUUGUUUUACAUGGACUCCACCAAACCUUCCCUGGAUUUUGUCAAUAAAUUGGAGCAAAGCAGGUCC